AAUUCGAUUUUAAUUUCCUCCCCUAACGUCGUUUUACUCCUUUAUAGUUAAAAAAUAAAAAUAAAACUUUUAACUCCAUGCCCAUUGCCAUUUUUUCUUCCUCAACCCCGAUUCUUAAACGCCCAAAUUUGGAACCCUAGAUUUUUCUCUGCAGAACUUUUCUUAAUCCUUAUUUCGUAUUUGAUUUCGAGAAGCGUAAGCGGCUGCGUCCAGACGGUAAACGCCACAGCCACAGCCAUCGUUUCCGCCGAGUCCACAGUCCAUCCCUUAGUCUUCAAUUGUUCAGUGGUGCAGAAAAAACUCCCAUGACUUCUGGGCGAAAGGUCUUCUGAUUAGGAGUGGAACACGACUCCCUUGAUUUUGGGGUGUAAUUUGGGUUUGAAUGAGAAUUUUAAAAGAUCCUAUACUUGAUGAUAAAAUUGCAAAUUGGUUAUAGGUGUAAGUUGUGUUUGUUUUUGCUUAUUAGCAUCUUCCUGAAGCCUCAAAUGUUGAAAGAAACAUUUCAGGAAUUUAGCCUUUGUGCUUUUUGGUAAACAUACGUGUAAAACUAAAAAAGCGAAGCGCUAUUUAUGUUGUUUUGCUUUUUUUAAACGCUGCCUUGUUUGUUUUGUGCCUCUAGUCAUAGCAUGAUAUAGCUUUAAGGUCAUCGUUUUUAAGAAA